AAACUAACUAGGAUUCCCUUAGUAACGGCGAGUGAACCGGGAAAAGCUCAAAUUUGUAAUCUGGCUGUCUUCGAUAGUCCGAGUUGUAAUCUAUAGACGUGUUUUCCGUGCUGGACCGUAUCUAAGUCCCUUGGAACAGGGUAUCAAAGAGGGUGACAAUCCCGUGCUUGAUACGACCACCAGUGCUCUGUGAUACACGCUCUACGAGUCGAGUUGUUUGGGAAUGCAGCUCAAAAUGGGUGGUAAAUUCCAUCUAAAGCUAAAUAUUGGCGAGAGACCGAUAGCGAACAAGUACCGUGAGGGAAAGAUGAAAAGCACUUUGGAAAGAGAGUUAAACAGUACGUGAAAUUGUUGAAAGGGAAACGAUUGAAGUCAGUCGUGUUCUUUGGAUUCAGCUAGUUCUUCUAGUCUACUUCCAUUGAACGGGUCAACAUCAGUUUUGUCCGGUGGAUAAAGAUAGUAGGAAUGUAGCUCCCCCGGGAGUGUUAUAGACUAUUAUUGCAUACACUGGGUGAGACUGAGGACUGCAGCUCGCCUUUUGGCCGGUCUUCGGACACGUUCGAGCUUAGGAUGUUGACAUAAUGGCUUUAAACGACC
rnacentral:rRNA from 1 species